AUCUAUUUUUAAAUUUUCGAAUGUUAUACAUAGCGUAGUUUAAAAAUUAAUCUAUACAAAAUUACAAUUUAAUCUAUCAAUGAAUUUUGUGUAAAUAUUCCAUUAGUGUUUUCGCUGCUCUGAUCACCGGUCACAUUGUUUGCCAUCUGUGUAUUAUAAAUUGAUUCUGUUCCUGAAUUUGUUCCAACGCAUAGACAAUUACCAUGCAUGAAAUCGACGACAUCGACACAGGCGAUAAUCAAAGGUGUUUCAGAAUCAUCGAAGAGUAUACGACUGUAUCGAUUAUUGUUACAUUACGAUCUUGAUUACGAUACGCUUCCGGUGGCUGAGGUUGAGGUCCCGUGUGCAAAAGGCGAUAUUAUCUGCGGCUUUGAAGGAACAUUUACCGAUUUUUCAAAAACAAAGCAACCAUGUAUUGUAUUUGUGAAAGCAAGUGAUGAUCCACGAAAUCCUCAAAUGCGAAUUGGAUCGCAAGAAUUCCAGUACCAACAUUGAACGCCUGCGGUGCACGGAACGGUCACCAAAUCGGUGUCGAGCCGGGAAAAGAAAUAUGUACGGCCAGGCAGCAACAGACGGGUAGUGCGUGAACUACGACUGUCAUGCGAUAAAUCUCCUGUUUGGACAUUCCUUCCUAGCAAAUGAUAUGAAUGUGGCGAAGUAGGAGACCUACUACUCUCAGACUGUCUCGGACGGUAAUUUUUAACGAUGGAUCCCUGCGAAACAAAGUCUGGGGGUGCCGAACUCAAGGAAUAGAGAAACCUCCGGUGCAUAAGACUUAAUAUCAACUAGUUAGUGCUGAGAUCAGUAAAUCGCAACGCUGUGCCUAGUUAAAGGAGUAAUUGAUUAUGACUAACUUCGAGCGGAAAACUACAGCACUCUCGGGAACCCAACUCAGCUGAAUUCCUAGACGGCGUUACCUGAUAAAUAUUUGCCUCAAUUUGUUUUCCUAGAUUACGCUAAAAGAACUGUCGCUAAGAUAUUUUAAGUUGCAGCUAUUUCCUUA